CCUACGGGUGGCAGCAGUGAGGAAUAUUGGUCAAUGGCCGUAAGGCUGAACCAGCCAAGUAGCGUGAGGGAAGACUGCCCUAUGGGUUGUAAACCUCUUUUAUGCGGGGAUAAAGGUGUCCACGUGUGGAUGUUUGCAGGUACCGCAUGAAUAAGGACCGGCUAAUUCCGUGCCAGCAGCCGCGGUAAUACGGAAGGUCCGGGCGUUAUCCGGAUUUAUUGGGUUUAAAGGGAGCGUAGGCCGGUCUUUAAGCGUGCCGUGAAAUUUUGUGGCUCAACCCCGUCGUGCCGUUGAAACUGAUGUUCUUGAGUGGGCGAGAAGUAUGCGGAAUGCGUGGUGUAGCGGUGAAAUGCAUAGAUAUCACGAAGAACCCCGAUUGCGAAGGCAGCUUACUAAACUGUGACUGACAUUGAUGCUCGAAAGUGUGGGUAUCAAACAGGAUUAGAUACCCCUGUAGUC
rnacentral:rRNA from 1 species